rnacentral:piRNA from 1 species
UGCUGAAGAAGACUGACCAAUUAUGGCAAA